rnacentral:rRNA from 1 species
ACGUAGGAACCGAGCGUUGUCCGGAUUUACUGGGCGUAAAGUGCGCGUAGGCGGUCUGUUAAGUCUCAUGUGAAAUCUCCCGGCUCAACUGGGAGGGGUCAUGGGAUACUGGCAGACUGGAGUGCAGUAGAGGAAAGCGGAAUUCCCGGAGUAGUGGUGGAAUGCGUAGAUACCGGGAGGAACACCAGAGGCGAAGGCGGCUUUCUGGGCUGUAACUGACGCUGAGGCGCGAAAGCGUGGGUAGCAAACCGG